GGAGAUUGACCAGCAGGUGCAGAUCCAGGACCACCACCUCCUGCAGCUGCACUGCCGCUUUGAACACCCCAAGGAGCGGUAUUGCCGUAUCCCAUACCACCAUAUCCUGCGGGUGCUUGGGAGCUCCAUGAACUUCUAGGAGCACCUGGUGGGCCACCACCAUAACCAGCAUUUGGGGCAUUAGGGUUUCCAUAGGCGGCAGCGGCUGGACCACCAUAUCCAGUAUUGGUACCACCAUAACCUCCAUAGCCUCCAUAACCAAUGCCAUUACUGGAAGGAGCAUACCCAUAACUGGGUGCACUAUACCCCGAAGAACCAUAAGGAGGAAAACCACCACCAGUGCUCUGAGAUUGCAUGUACCUGUUCGAGUCCAUUCGACCAUCAUAUGCAUUUGGGUUCCCACCAGAUGUUCCAUAGCCUUGGUAACCACCACCAGAUGCACCACCGCCACCCUGACCACCCCCCAUGGAACGGCCACCACCACCAGGGUUGGCAUCUUUGGGAAGAGCCCUCUUUACUUCCACUUGCUUACCACUUAAAUCAUGAAAUGUCUUGUGCAAAACCCUAUCUACUGCAUCUUCAGUGUCAAAUGAAAUAAAUCCAAAUCCACGAGGUCGUCCAGUAUUUUGGUCAAAC
rnacentral:lncRNA from 1 species